GCAUAUUUAUAUAUAUUUGUGUGUUUACACGCUCGCCAGAGCCGCUGGACCGGGCACACGUGGAUCUCCUGCCGGGAUCCUGGUGUUCUUCUCCCUAAUUUGCUCGUCACAGGUGCUGAUUCCAGGCUUCACCCACUCCGGGCCUCCGUCACUCGUUCCCGGGGACGGAUGAGUGUGCCGGAGCCUCCCACACGCCGCGCCAGGAGGCCAUCUCCACAAACGUUUGCUUCUGUGACACAGGACCGAAGUAAAAGGUUCGAUUUGUUGAUCUCCUGAUGGGGGCACACUGACCUUGGCGUGCUUAUCUGGGGGGCACGACGAUAUUAACAAGGAGCUUUAAUAUCAAUAAAGUAGACCGACGGAGCCCAGGUUUGUCACUGCUGUCGCUGGCUGCCCCCCCACCCCCUCCAGGGCCCCCCAAGGCUCUGUAAGGCCUGGCAUUAUCAUGACAACAGCUGUUGCCUC